GCCUGCAACUCGGCUGCAUGAAGCUGGAAUCGCUAGUAAUCGCGGAUCAGAAUGCCGCGGUGAAUACGUUCCCGGGUCUUGUACACACCGCCCGUCACACCAUGGGAGUAGGUAAUGCCCGAAGUCGGUGACCUAACCGGAAGGAAGGAGCCGCCGAAGGCAGGACUUAUAACUGGGGUGAAGUCGUAACAAGGUAAC
rnacentral:rRNA from 1 species